AUGGACUCCCCUACUGAUGUUAACAAACCUUGCCCUCUGCAACUAUGGAGACCAAGUAGUGAUGAUGCCAUACCUUGCCCACCAAAGGAAAUGGGAGGCAACCGCGUUGCCGAGCACAAAUUUGAGGCGGCUAAUUCUUGGGAUAGCGUUCGCGUAGAAGUCAUCCCGGGGAAGUUGCGCAUCAACUUGUACCUGAAUCAUGAUUCCCAGAGAUGCAAGCUUGAGGUGUUCUUUGGGCACAUCCGAAAUUGCUACAAGUGCAACUUCGUUGGGCCUAGCGUCAUCUUGCUACAGUGUUCAACUCUCACCCUCACACUUGAUGAAGUUCAUAUUUCAAGGAGGAUUUUUGAGAAAAUGAGCAAGUUAGAGUUGACAUGCUAUGAACCUUUGCACUUCAUCCAGCAGAAGGCUCUUAGCAGGAAAAGGAGCCGCAAUAGAGGAGAGUGA
rnacentral:rRNA from 1 species